AGAGUUUGAUCUUGGCUCAGAGCGAACGCUGGCGGCAGGCCUAAUACAUGCAAGUCGAGCGGUCCCUUCGGGGGCAGCGGCGGACGGGUGAGUAACGCGUGGGAACGUGCCCUUUGGUACGGAACAACUGAGGGAAACUUCAGCUAAUACCGUAUGUGCCCUUCGGGGGAAAGAUUUAUCGCCAUUGGAGCGGCCCGCGUUGGAUUAGGUAGUUGGUGAGGUAAAGGCUCACCAAGCCUACGAUCCAUAGCUGGUCUGAGAGGAUGAUCAGCCACACUGGGACUGAGACACGGCCCAGACUCCUACGGGAGGCAGCAGUAGGGAAUCUUGCGCAAUGGGCGAAAGCCUGACGCAGCCAUGCCGCGUGAAUGAUGAAGGUCUUAGGAUUGUAAAAUUCUUUCACCGGGGACGAUAAUGACGGUACCCGGAGAAGAAGCCCCGGCUAACUUCGUGCCAGCAGCCGCGGUAAUACGAAGGGGGCUAGCGUUGCUCGGAAUUACUGGGCGUAAGGGAGCGUAGCGGAUAGUUAGUCAGAGGUGAAAGCCAGGCUCAACCUUGGAUUGCUUGAUAUGCUUCUGAUAUGAAGAGGUGUGGAAGCCGGUGUAAGUGAAUUCU
rnacentral:rRNA from 1 species